UACGUAGGGUGCAAGCGUUGUCCGGAAUUAUUGGGCGUAAAGAGCUUGUAGGCGGUUUGUCGCGUCUGCUGUGAAAUUUCGGGGCUCAACCCCGAACUUGCAGUGGGUACGGGCAGACUAGAGUGUGGUAGGGGAGACUGGAAUUCCUGGUGUAGCGGUGAAAUGCGCAGAUAUCAGGAGGAACACCGAUGGCGAAGGCAGGUCUCUGGGCCACUACUGACGCUGAGAAGCGAAAGCAUGGGGAGCG
rnacentral:rRNA from 1 species